UCACAAAGAAGCCCACCUUUAUGCCUUUCUGUGGGGAAGAAUUAAAUUCUGUGGCUACAUCUCUGAAUGAUAGUGAGUUCUGCCUUCCUUGAAUUCUCCAUCUGACCUGGAAUGUGCACUCGCAAAUAGAAGUGAUGAAAACAGGAGAGCAUCAUUUCCAGGAAGUUCACAUGCAUGUGCUCUUUCCACCAUCUCUUAACCAGUCUACAUAUCAAAACUAUUUCUAAGGAAAGAAGAUGGAACGUACGCUCUUAAGAAAGAAGAGAUCAUCUGGGGUCCUUGUCUGACCAACAUCACUGCAUUCCACAAUCCAUCAAAGACCACAAAUGGAAUGAGAACAGGG